rnacentral:rRNA from 1 species
AUUGAACGCUGGCGGCAGGCCUAACACAUGCAAGUCGAACGGUAACAGAAAGUAGCUUGCUACUUUGCUGACGAGUGGCGGACGGGUGAGUAAUGUCUGGGGAUCUGCCUGAUGGAGGGGGAUAACUACAGGAAACGGUAGCUAAUACCGCAUAAUGUCGCAAGACCAAAGCGGGGGACUUUCGGGCCUCGCACCAUCAGAUGAACCCAGAUGGGAUUAGCUAGUAGGUAAGGUAAUGGCUUACCUAGGGGACGAUCCCUAGCUGGUCUGAGAGGAUGACCAGCCACACGGGAACCGAGACACGGUCCAGACUCCUACGGGAGGCAGCAGUGGGGAAUAUUGCACAAUGGGCGCAAGCCUGAUGCAGCCAUGCCGCGUGUAUGAAGAAGGCCUUCGGGUUGUAAAGUACUUUCAGUCAGGAGGAAGGGUGUGAAAUUAAUACUUUCAUGCAUUGACGUUACUGACAGAAGAAGCACCGGCUAACUCCGUGCCAGCCGCCGCGGUAA